GCUCGUAGUCGGAUUUUGGGCGCGUGUGGGCUGUCGGCCUCUGGUCGGACGGCAUGCGCGUGCCUUUUUGCUUGGGGAGCCCAUGGCGGUUCACGCCGUCGUGGUGAGCCACAGGCCGUUUACUUUGAAAAAAUUAGAGUGUUCAAAGCAGGCUGUUGCUUGAAUAGAUUAGCAUGGAAUAAUGGAAUAGGACCUUGGUGCUAUUUCGUUGGUUAUGGGACUGGGGUAAUGAUUAAUAGGGACAGUUGGGGCUGUUCAUAUUUCGUUGUCAGAGGUGAAAUUCUUGGAUUUACGAACGAUGAACUUGUGCGAAAGCAUUCGGCAAGGAUGUUUUCAUUGAUCAAGAACGAAAGUUAGGGGAUCGAAGACGAUCAGAUACCGUCGUAGUCUUAACCAUAAACUAUGCCAACUAGGGAUCAUUGAGUGUCAAUUUACGACCUCAUUGGCACCUUGUGAGAAAUCAAAGUUUUUGGGUUCCGGGGGGAGUAUGGUCGCAAGGCUGAAACUUAAAGGAAUUGACGGAAGGGCACCACCAGGAGUGGAGCCUGCGGCUUAAUUUGACUCAACACGGGGGAAACUUACCAGGUCCAGACAUAGUCAGGAUGGACAGAUUGAAAGCUCUUUCUUGAUUCUAUGGGUGGUGGUGCAUGGCCGUUCUUAGUUGGUGGAGUGAUUUGUCUGGUU
rnacentral:rRNA from 1 species